CCAACCACAAAACAACCUUAAACUUCCACCAACGACGGAGUUAAGACCACCAUCGAACUCCUGGAGACUCCACGAUCACGUAGACACCAAUUUCAGGUAAGUUUUACUUCGGAAAACCUAGAUUCUAAACUCCCCGUGAAAGUGCACUGUUCAUGAUCUUCGAAUUGACUUUGUUUUAGGACAAUCCAAGCUCACAGUGAGCUUAGUGAGGUUCCAAGGAAGCUCGGAGCUCGGAGUGCUUCGUUGGAAGUUUUUGGACGUAAGAACACGGAGAUCGAUAAGUUCAAAGUUUGGCCGGAGCUUUCGAGGCAUUUUCCGGCGAAUCCCCGGCGAGUUAGGCGUCGAGGUAGGUAUCAAUCUCUUCGUCUCGUCAAGUACUACAACUUUCCUUUUUGUUUCACUCAAUUUCGUUGAGUAUUGAAGAAGUUAUACUCAUUUGAAAAAUACCCAGUUUCCGGCGACCUCUGAGGCUUUCGAGGCAGUUUCCGGCCAAACUACGGCGAACUAGGUGUUGGGAAAGGUACCAUUCUCUUUGUCUCUUCAAGGGCUACAACUUUCGUUUUUGAAUCACUUGAUUUCGUUGAGAAAUGACAAAGUUAUGGCAAUUUGAAAAACUGCCCAGAAAACGGCCGCCGGAAAAACCAGUCCGGCGACCCAAGGAAGAAGAAGGUGCUACAGUAAAAAUAAAAAAUAAAAAUUAAAUUAUUUUAAAAAUAUGUCGACGUCCGUGACGUCGAGUAGAUCACUGUGGUAUAUUCAUAUACCUAAAUUGAACACCGUAUGAGAAAGUUAUUGAAGAUUGUUGGUUAGGUGUUCAAAUAACGUUUUAUAGUUUUCACAUUUAGGUGAAAAAUGUGAAUUGAUGAUCCGACCGUUGGAUCGUCACCAAACUUUGAUACGUUGUAAUACGUAAUAUUUUGAGGAUUAUUGGAACUUACGGAUUGGGAAUCCGAGUUACGGAUCUUCCGGAAUUGGAAUUGUAAGUCCAUAAUAUAAAAUGUUAACCGUCACUUAGUUUUGGAAAUUGACGGAGAUCCGACCG
rnacentral:lncRNA from 1 species